rnacentral:sRNA from 1 species
CGCCUCGACUGCGAAUUACUGUUUAUGAGGUGACUCGCUGGUUGUAUCGGUGGACAGUGGGACAUUCUGAAGGGAGGCAAGGAGGCGGACUGACCGCUCCCAAUUGGGGUGAGCCCGCCCGAGCGGAGAGUGGACGGCGGGUGCCUAGGGGGCGGGGCUUUCGGCUGUGGGGUUCGGUCGUCGGGCGGGAACUCCCCAACUGGGGUGCGCUGGCGCUCGGAGGGGGCGGGGCCACAGGCUGCGAGACUGCUGGGAGCCGAUGACGCCCGAACGCCGAACCUAGUGCGUCCGGGAGGAGGCGGGGCUACGGACUCGGCCGAGCCGAGAACACCCGAACGUCAAAUUGCUCACGUUCGAGAAGGGGGCGGGGCUGCGGAUUCGGUGGAGCCGAGGACGCCCGAACGCCGAACUUCCUGUGCUCGGGAGGGGGCAGGGUUUUGUACUGUGGGAGUCUGAGAGCGAGUAAGCCCGAAAGCCGAAUCACAGUCGUUCGGAAAGAGGAGCGAAGGCCCGAGCGUCCGGAAGAGGGUGUGGCCUCGGCGGUGCCUUAGCCUCGAGAGCUUCUGACCCCUGACGGGAACACCCGAAGGGGGACGCCCACUUUGCAAGAGGGUGGUGCCAAAAUGGACCUUUGUAAGGGGGCGUGUCGCCGCGCUUGCGGAGGUUUGUUUUUCAGACUCCAAGGCGCAAUGGUAGGUACGGCAGUGCGGGCACAGAGCGGGUGCCAACCGUAGGAUCACAAGGGUAGAGCGGGGCCCCGGCGGCUUGGCGAGGGGCGAGGGCCGGGGGCUGGUCUCCGGCGGCCGCGGGGCCUGGUGGGAUCGCCUGGGGGCGGGGCCUGGCGCUCGGGCCCAGCAGGUGGUGAAGGGCGGCUGAGCGAGGCCCCGCCCCCUAAGGCCUAGGGGCGGGGCUUCGCCGAGACCCCGGGCGGCGGUCCGCGGCGCGCAGCUGUUUCGGUAACUGCUUUGCCUCCUGGCUCCCGCAGGAGGAUGCUGGUGGUGGAGGUGGCGAACGGCCGCUCCCUGGUGUGGGGAGCCGAGGCGGUGCAGGCCCUCCGGGAGCGCCUGGGUGUGGGGGGCCGCACGGUAGGCGCCCUGCCCCGCGGGCCCCGCCAGAACUCGCGCCUGGGCCUCCCGCUGCUGCUGAUGCCCGAAGAGGCGCGGCUCUUGGCCGAGAUCGGCGCCGUGACUCUGGUCAGCGCCCCGCGCCCAGACCCUCGGCACCACAGCCUGGUAAGGGGGCGGGACUUGAACUCCUGGGUUCGGUGGGAGCGGGACCUGGGAGUCAAGAUUCCUGGCUUCCGAAGGGACCAUAAGCUUGGAGGUUCCAGCGAAGUGUGCUUCUUAGGCCCUGACAGCCUUCAAGCACCAGCAAGAGGAGAGCUUCCAGGAGCAGAGCGUCUUGGCAGCUGAGGCCCGGGAGACCCGUCGUCAGGAGCUCCUGGAGAAGAUUACGGAGGGCCAGGCUGCUAAGAAGCAGAAACUAGAACAGGCUUCAGGGGCUGGCUCGAGCCAGGAGGCCGGCUCGAGCCAGGCUGUCAAAGAGGAUGAGACCAGCCCCUCCUCUUCCCAAGCAGGACCCUCAAAUGGGGUAGCCCCCUUGCCCAGAUCUGCUCUCCUUGUCCAGCUGGCCACUGCCAGGCCUCGGCCGGUCAAGGCCAGGCCCCUGGACUGGCGUGUCCAGUCUAAAGACUGGCCCCACGCCGGCCGCCCUGCCCACGAGUUGCGCUACAGCAUCUACAGAGACCUGUGGGAGCGAGGCUUCUUCCUCAGUGCGGCUGGCAAGUUCGGAGGUGACUUCCUGGUCUAUCCUGGUGACCCCCUUCGCUUCCACGCUCAUUACAUCGCUCAGUGCUGGGCCCCCGAGGACCCUAUCCCACUCCAAGACCUGGUUGCUGCUGGGCGCCUUGGAACCAGCGUCAGAAAGACCCUGCUCCUCUGUUCUCCGCAGCCUGAUGGUAAGGUGGUCUACACCUCCCUGCAAUGGGCCAGCCUGCAGUGAACUCCAGAGACCUAGGGGGAUGUGGCUGUCUGCAGCAAGAGCCUUUCUGGAUGUUCCCCAGCUCUUCUCUGGGAGUCUAGAACAUCCUUCUACCUUUCUCCAUGGUUAGUUUUUGAUUCCAGGUUUUCGAACACUACAUCAUUUUUAUGUUCUUCCUUGUUUCAAAGCACAUAUUGGCUGUGUUUUUGUAGUUACCUAUUUUCACACUGUGAGCUUCCCGAGAAUGGGGCCUGGGUUUGAUUCAUCUGUUUUCUACAGGGUUUAAGUCUCAGGAGGUCUCAAUAAACUUGUUAUAUAAAUGUU